AAUACACAAAUUCGUAUGGAUUUGGAACGUUUGCCGCUAGGGGCGCUGUUCCAACUGCAUACAAAGUUGAGUUA
rnacentral:pre_miRNA from 1 species